UACGUAGGGGGCAAGCGUUGUCCGGAUUUAUUGGGCGUAAAGAGCGUGUAGGCGGCCAGACAGGUCCGUUGUGAAAACUCGAGGCUCAACCUCGAGACGCCGAUGGAAACCGUCUGGCUAGAGUCCGGAAGAGGAGAGUGGAAUUCCUGGUGUAGCGGUGAAAUGCGCAGAUAUCAGGAAGAACACCCGUGGCUAAGGCGGCUCUCUGGUACGGUACUGACGCUGAGGCGCGACAGCGUGGGGAGCAAACAGG
rnacentral:rRNA from 1 species